rnacentral:rRNA from 1 species
UGGGGAAUAUUGCACAAUGGGCGCAAGCCUGAUGCAGCCAUGCCGCGUGUAUGAAGAAGGCCUUCGGGUUGUAAAGUACUUUCAGCGGGGAGGAAGGGAGUAAAGUUAAUACCUUUGCUCAUUGACGUUACCCGAAGAAGAAGCACCGGCUAACUCCGUGCCAGCAGCCGCGGUAAUACGGAGGGUGCAAGCGUUAAUCGGAAUUACUGGGCGUAAAGCGCACGCAGGCGGUUUGUUAAGUCAGAUGUGAAAUCCCCGGGCUCAACCUGGGAACUGCAUCUGAUACUGGCAAGCUUGAGUCUCGUAGAGGGGGGUAGAAUUCCAGGUGUAGCGGUGAAAUGCGUAGAGAUCUGGAGGAAUACCGGUGGCGAAGGCGGCCCCCUGGACGAAGACUGACGCUCAGGUGCGAAAGCGUGGGGAGCAAACAGG